rnacentral:lncRNA from 1 species
CCCUCCCUCGCUGGUCGAGGGUGGUUAGUGGAAGCAACUGCCAUGGGUUCCUUUUCAUCCGCGCUGACUAAAUCCAUUGCCAUCGCGCUUCUUGUGAGGCCCAGAGGGAGCAUGCGAAGGGGAGAGGCAGCACCAAAGUUGAAGCGAAUCCAUAGGCGUACCAGUGUGUCUCCGGUUCCUUGAUGCGGAGACAAUGGUGUGGUUGACCGUAGGUGUGUGUCCUCGGAGGAGCUUGGAUGAGAAUCUCACAUGAAGAUAAGUCGACUUUUAAUUCAACGAACCCUUUUCUGCAAAAGCUUGUGCCCCAGUGGGGGAAUUAAGGAGGAAUUAUAUUCUUGGAGAUGUUGAAAAAAGAUUCCUGGGUCUUGGAAGAUAAUUACUAGAAAUAUGCAGGUAUUUGACGUAACAUGGAGUAAAGAUGCAAAUACACAGCAGCAGAGUUAGAGGAGGUUGCCUUUCCCCCCAAAGCUUGAAUUUUAUCCAGUGUGUGCUUCUGAUCAUUGGAAACCUUGUCUAACAACAGAAACAGCAUAUAAAGCAUAACCAGCUUUGAAAUGUAUUAAGGCGUGGUUGCCCGUCCCAUGUCAGGCUUGAUGUUGAAAAGACGACACUGCCAAGUUAGCAGAAGAAACAAAUCGAAGGGUGUUGUUCUCCAAGAACACCAUUUAUCAGAUUUAUCAAGAAUUCAAAGAUUUAUAUAAUAAGAUUCUUGGUGAUUGAAAACAUCCAUUAGCUGCAGAUGGUAAAGCUGUGUUCUUCCUUGUCUCCCAUGCAACAUUUUACAAAAAUGGAUCAUCAGAAGAGGGAAUUGGUCAACAGAUAUGACAGCAAAGAAAUGAAAAGUGCUAACACUGGAAAUGAAAUUAGAUGUGGUUAGAAGAUUUGAAAAUGGUCACAACAAAGCAAAAAAUAGGACAAGACCUGGGCCUACAUGACACUACAGUACAAACCGUAUUUAAAAGUCUGAUGAGUUCCUGCUAUGGUGCAAAAGGAUCAGCAGCCUCUUGGGGAGUGCUGGGACGCAGGUUUGGUUCCUGGCACGGUGGGUUGAGGAUCCAGUGUUGCCACAGCUGCAACUUUGGUUGCAGCUACGGCUUGGAUCUGAUCCCUGGCCUGGGAGCUCCAUAUGCCUCGGGGUGGCCAAAAAAAAAAGGGGGGGUUUCAACAUCUUGUAGUUUAAAUUGCACUAGGAGCGGAAAGCUGCUUAUGGUUGAAAUGGAGCCUUUAUUUCUACUUUGGAUUAAGGACUGUAAUCAAAAACAAAUCCCAUUCAGUUAGGCACUGAAGUUAGUUGCUACAUGUAAGGAAAAUGCUAAUUACAAGGACAUCUUUUUAGUACCAGUAAAGGCUGGUUUCAUCAUUUUAGAAGUUAACAUGAAUUGAUUAAUGUUAAGCUAUCUGGUGAAGCUACAAGCUCAAAUAAGAAUGCUACUGUGAAAUUUGCACCCAGAUUCCAAGAAUUACAGGCAUUCCUCAUUUUGCACAGUAGUGAGAGACGACUGCAAAAAACUGCGAGAUUCGGAUGGAAUGUAAAUGGAGUUAAGGAAGGUAAUGAUGACCAUGGGAACACUGCUGCCUGCCAUUCAAGGAACAGUUCUAGACAUGCGGGAAGCAGAACUUAAGGUGAAGUUCCAAGUGAAGAAAGCGGUUGUAAAGCAUGAGUGCAUCUCAGGAAGUGAUGGUGUUGACAGACUUAGGCUGAAGGAGCUCUGCAGAGAUCCAUCGUGACAUUGACAGCACAGAGGACAAAUUUUGGAAGGUGAUUCAGACUUAGAAAGGAGGAUGGCAAUUUACGAAGGCAUAGACAAGAUGCUCAGUAAGUUGUAAGAUGAGUAGAAGGCAGCACUUUUCAAACUAUAUUUUUUAUAAAGAAAACAGUUUCAAUG